UCCUACGGGAGGCAGCAGUGAGGAAUUUUCCACAAUGGACGAAAGUCUGAUGGAGCAACGCCGCGUGCAGGAAGACGGCUUUCGGGUUGUAAACUGCUUUUAUUUGGGAAGAUUAUGACGGUACCAAAUGAAUAAGGAUCGGCUAACUACGUGCCAGCAGCCGCGGUAAUACGUAGGAUCCAAGCGUUAUCCGGAAUUACUGGGCGUAAAGCGUACGUAGGUGGAAAUUUAAGUGAGAUGCGAAAUCUGGCGGCUCAACCGUCUAGACUGUGUCUCAUACUGGGUUUCUUGAGGUUGGUAGAGGCAAGUGGAAUUUCCGGUGUAGCAGUGAAAUGCGUAGAGAUCGGAAGGAACACCAAUGGCGAAGGCAGCUUGCUGGGCCACACCUGACACUGAGGUACGAAAGCGUGGGGAGCGAACAGGAUUAGAUACCCUGGUAGUCCACGCCGUAAACGAUGGAUGCUAGUAGUUCGAGGUAUCGACCCCUUGGGCUGCGAAGCUAACGCGUUAAGCAUCCCGCCUGGGGAGUACGAGCGCAAGCUUAAAACUCAAAGGAAUUGACGGGGACCCGCACAAGCGGUGGAUGAUGUGGUUUAAUUCGAUGCUACGCGAAGAACCUUACCCAGGCUUGACAUCCUGCGAAUCUGUUGGAAACAACGGAGUGCCUUCGGGAGCGCAGUGACAGGUGUUGCAUGGCCGUCGUCAGCUCGUGUCGUGAGAUGUUUGGUUAAGUCCAUUAACGAGCGCAACCCUUAUCGUCUGUUACAAUUUCAGGCGAGACUGCCCCGGCCAACGGGGAGGAAGGUGGGGAUGAGGUCAGGUCAGCAUGGCCCUUACGCCUGGGGCUACACACGUCAUACAAUGGCCGGUACAACGCGUUUGCCAACCCGCGAGGGGGAGCUAAUCGUAUCAAAACCGGUCCCAGUUCGGAUUGGAGGCUGCAACUCGCCUCCAUGAAGUUGGAAUCGCUAGUAAACGUGGGUCAGCAUACCACGUUGAAUACGUUCCCGGGCCUUGUACACACCGCCAU
rnacentral:rRNA from 1 species